AAUGAACGCUGGCGGCAGGCCUAACACAUGCCAGUCGAGCGAGCAUUUCGGUGCUAGCGGCGGACGGGUGAGUAACGCGUGGGAACGUGCCCUUUUCUGCGGAAUAGUCCUGGGAAACUGGGGGUAAUACCGCAUACGCCCUUUUGGGGAAAGAUUUAUCGGAGAAGGAUCGGCCCGCGUUGGAUUAGGUAGUUGGUGGGGUAAUGGCCCACCAAGCCGACGAUCCAUAGCUGGUUUGAGAGGAUGAUCAGCCACACUGGGACUGAGACACGGCCCAGACUCCUACGGGAGGCAGCAGUGGGGAAUCUUAGACAAUGGGGGCAACCCUGAUCUAGCCAUGCCGCGUGAGUGAUGAAGGCCUUAGGGUUGUAAAGCUCUUUCAGCUGGGAAGAUAAUGACGGUACCAGCAGAAGAAGCCCCGGCUAACUCCGUG
rnacentral:rRNA from 1 species